rnacentral:rRNA from 1 species
CAAUAGCGUAUGUUAAAGUUGUUGCGGCUAAAAAAGCUCGUAGUUGGAUUUCUAGAUGAGAGGAGUGGUCCACUCUAUGAGUGUGUAUCUACUUCCGCUCGUCUAUCCGCUCUGCAAACGUGUCUGCGCUUGACUGCGUGGUACGGAGGUAGGGCCUUUUACUUUGAGGAAAUUAGAGUGUUCACGGCAGGCAAUCGCCUUGAAUAUAUUAGCAUGGAAUAAUAACAUAGGAUCUUGGUUCUAUUUUGUUGGUUUCUAGGACUAAGAUAAUGAUUAAUAGGGACAAUUGGGGGCAUUCGUAUCGCGGUGUCAGAGGUGGAAUUCUUGGAUUACUGCGCGACGAACUACUGCGAAAGCAUUUGCCAAGGAUGUUUUCAUUGAUCAAGAACGAAAGUAAGGGGAUCGAAGAUGAUCAGAUACC